UACAAGGUGGUUGAGAUUAAACAAUAAACUGUAAAUUUAUAUACGGGUGGCACCCUCUUGUGU
rnacentral:tRNA from 1 species